rnacentral:tRNA from 1 species
GUUGUGGCUCAGUAGUAGAGUGCUUGCCUAGCAUGUGUGAGGCACUGGGUUCGAUUCUCAGCACAACA